rnacentral:rRNA from 1 species
UGUGUAGGCGGCAGUGUUAGUCUUUCGUGAAAGGCUUUGGGCUUAACCCAGAGACCGCAGGGGAAACGGCACUGCUAUUGAGGAUGCGAGAGGUAAAGGGAACUCAAGGUGUAGGGGUGAAAUCCGUUGAUAUCUUGGGGAACACCAAAUGCGAAGGCACUUUACUGGCGCACUCCUGACGCUGAAACACGAAAGCGUGGGAAUGAACG